rnacentral:misc_RNA from 1 species
GAUGAAGAACGCAGCGAAAUGCGAUAAGUAAUGUGAAUUGCAGAAUUCAGUGAAUCAUCGAAUCUUUGAACGCACAUUGCGCCCAUUAGCAUUCUAGUGGGCAUGCCUGUUCGAGCGUCAUUUCAACCCUUAAGCCCUGUUGCUUAGCGUUGGGAGCCUACAGUACUGUAGCUCCCCAAAGUUAGUGGCGGAGUCGGUUUCACACUCUAGACGUAGUAAUUUUUUCUCGUCUGUAGUUGAGCCGGUCCCCUGCCGUAAAACACCCAAUUUAUCAAGGUCGACCUCGGAUCAGGUAGGAAUACCCGCUGAACUUAAGCAUAUCAAUAAGCGGAGGA